rnacentral:rRNA from 1 species
UACGGGGGGGGCAAGCGUUGUUCGGAAUUACUGGGCGUAAAGGGCGCGUAGGCGCCUUCUAAGUCAGACGUGAAAUCCCUCGGCUCAACCGAGGAACUGCGUCUGAUACUGGAAGGCUUGAAUCCGGGAGAGGGAUGUGGAAUUCCAGGUGUAGCGGUGAAAUGCGUAGAUAUCUGGAGGAACACCGGUGGCGAAGGCGACUUUCUGGACAGAUACUGACACUGAGGCACGAAAGCGUGGGUAGCAAACAGG